UACAGAGGGGGCAAGCGUUAUUCGGAAUUAUUGGGCGUAAAGGGCGCGUAGGCGGCUUUGCAAGUGACGGGUGAAAGCCCUCGGCUUAACCGAGGAACUGCCUGUCAGACUGUAAGGCUUGAGACCGGGAGAGGUGAGUGGAGUUCCCAGUGUAGCGGUGAAAUGCGUAGAUAUUGGGAGGAACACCAGUGGCGAAGGCGGCUCACUGGACCGGAACUGACGCUGAGGCGCGAAAGCGUGGGGAGCAAACAGG
rnacentral:rRNA from 1 species